UACAUAAUUGGUUUCGUUGGAUUAUAGUACACCGUACUAAACCGUUACAAUAUUUUUGUUUAUUUCAUUAUUACUUUUUAUUAAUUAUGAUUGCAGUUGUUCAUGAAGCCAUAGAUGAAUCGAUCUUUGUUUCGAUAAAAUAAUGAAGGAAUUGUGUAGUAGAUUUGUUGUUAAUAUUUUUCGGUUAAUUUAAACUUGUUUGCGUUUUAUGAUGUUAAAAAACUUUUAGGAAUAUGUCUGUAUGAAUAAUUUGGAUGCAAAUCAGUCAUAGAGUCAAUAUUUGUUCGUAUAGAAUUUUAUUUUUCUUUUUUUCUACAAUCAGACGUACUGUAUAUAUAAAACAAGCAAUAGAUAUUCGCGAAUUAAAUUUAUUGUUUGCCUCUUAAUUAUUAAAUAAUUAUUGCGCAUUUGAGUCAGUGCAUCACGGAAGAUGAUCAUGGAACUAUUACGCUUCUGUAGAAGAAUAUUGAUUUGCAUUGUCAUUAAGUCAAUGUAUUACAAAUUCAAUCAAAUUAAUUUUCCAUCUACGUCGAUUUAUUUCAUUUUGGACUUAUUACGGAACAGUUUACAUAGAUUUCGAGCUACAACGGGGCAAGUGUUUUGGAGCUAUUGUGAAUCUAAAGCAGUAAGUGAACAAAUGUAAGUCCCUCUAGUAUAUAUUAUGUCGAGGAUGAAAGAUUCGACUUGACAUGAGUUACUAGUUGUAAUUUUUUCUAUUAAUUGUUGACGAAUAGCCAUUAAUAAUUAACUUUUUAGAUUUACUCUUGAAUGGUACAGCUUUAAUUGUUUUUUUAUUGGGCUUAAUCUAGUUUCAUUAGCUUAGGAUAGUAUUUUCUUGUUUUAUUAAUGAGUCAUUUUAUUAAUACG